AAGGACAGGAAUUGGGUGGUUCUAUCGCUCUGUUGGCUUAUAGUUCUACCCUUACCUUCACAGUGGUAUUUCAUCUGGCCAAUCAGGAUUCCCCAAAACCCAAAUAAGGACAGUUCAGCCCCUGCCCUUUACUGCAGGUCAAGGUAUUACGUUUUUAAACAUGUUUCUCAAGUCCUAAGGUUUUCCCUUCUUGGCUUUUCUGACUCUAGGGAUGGACAUCAAGGACGUCUGUCCUCCUCCUGUCACUCACAGCUGACUGACAGACAUCUACAUGGAAAGGGCUCUCAGAGGGCCAGGGUCAGAGACGGUGUGUGUCUGUGUCCACUUGUGUGUGUGCAUGCAUGUGAAGUUCCAGUCACAUUGGCUCUUUUAGAAGGUGGUGGGUUUACUUGUGUAUCUCUCUCAUCUUUCCUUACUCCUCCUCUCAUCUUUCCUUACUCCAUCUGUCAUCUUUCCUCACCCCUCCUCUCAUCUUUCCUCACCCCUCCUCUCAUCUUUCCUCACUCGUCCUCUCAUCUUCCUCACUCCUCUCAUCAUCCUCACUCCUCCUCUCAUCUUUCCUCAUCCUUCUCUCAUCUUUCCUCACUCCUUAUCUAUCCUCACUCCUCAUCUUUCCUCACUCCUCAUCUUUCCUCAUCCUCCUCUCAUCUUUCAUCACUCCUCCUCUCUCCUCACCCCUCCACUCAUCUUUCCUCACUCCUCCUCUCAUCUUUCCUCAUCCUCCUCUCAUCUUUCCUCAUCCUCUUCUUAUCUUUCCUCAUCCUCCUCAUCUUUUCUCACUCCUCAUCUUUCCUCACUCCUCAUCUUUCCUCACCCCUCCUCUCAACCUCCUCAUCCUCUUCUCAUCUUUCCUCACCUUUCCUCACCCCUCCUCUCAUCUUCCUCACUCCUCCUCUCAUCUUUCCUCACUCCUCCUCUCAUCUUUCCUCACUCCUCUCAUCUUUCCUCACUCCUCUCAUCUUUCUUCACCGCUCCUCUCAUCUUUCCUCACCCCUUCUCUCAUCUUUCCUCACUCCUCCUCUCGUCUUUCCUCACUCCUCCUCUCAUAUUUCCUCACUCCUCCUCUCAUCUUUCCUCAUCCUCCUCUCAUCUUUCCUACUCCUCCUCUCAUCUUUCCUCAUCCUCCUCAUCUUUUCUCACUCCUCAUCUUUCCUCACUCCUCAUCUUUCCUCACCCCUCCUCUCAUCCUCCUCAUCCUCCUCUCAUCUUUCCUCACCUUUCCUCACCCCUCCUCUCAUCUUCCUCACCCCUUCUCUCAUCUUUCCUCACUCCUCCUCUCGUCUUUCCUCACUCCUCCUCUCAUCUUUCCUCACUCCUCUCAUCUUUCCUCACUCCUCUCAUCUUUCCUCACUCCUCUCAUCUUUCCUCACUCCUCUCAUCUUUCAUCACCGUUCCUCUCAUCUUUCCUCACCCCUCCUCUCAUCUUUCCUCACCCCUCCUCUCAUCUUUCCUCACUCCUCCUCUCAUCAUUCCUCACUCCUCCUCUCAUCUUUCCUCACAUCUUUCCUCAUCCUUCUCUCAUCUUUCCUCACUCCUCAUCUUUCCUCACUCCUCCUCUCUCCUCACCCCUCCACUCAUCUUUCCUCACUCCUCCUCUCAUCUUUCCUCAUCCUCCUCUCAUCUUUCCUACUCCUCAUCUUUCCUCACUCCUCCUCUCAUCUUUCCUCAUCCUCCUCUCAUCUCUCCUCACUCCUCUCGUCUUUCCUACUCCUCAUCUUUCCUCACUCCUCCUCUCAUCUUUCCUCAUCCUCCUCUCAUCUUACCUACUCCUCAUCUUUCCUCACCCCUCCUCUCAUCUUUCCUCAUCCUCCUCUCAUCUUUCCUCAUCCUCUUAUCUUUUCUCACUCCUCAUCUUUCCUCACUCCUCAUCUUUCCUCACCCCUCCUCUCAUCCUCCUCAUCCUCCUCUCAUCUUUCCUCACCCCUCCACUCAUCUUUCCUCACCCUCCUCUCAUCUUUCCUCACCCUCCUCUCAUCUUUCCUAACCCCUCCUCUCUCCGCACCCCUCCUCUCAUCUUUCCUCACCCCUCCUCUCAUCUUUCCUCACCCCUCCUCCCAUCUUUCCUCACUCCUCUUCCCAUCUUUUCUCACUCCUCUUAUCUUUUUCCUCUUUCUCCUUUAUUUUCACUCUAUUGCAUCCCAUCCCCUGUGCUGGCAGGCAGGCGCUCCUCUCACUGCCUUAGAGAACUGA
rnacentral:lncRNA from 8 species